UAGUAACAAGCACCAGCACAAUGCAAGAGUGCGCCUGCAGGAGCUCCAGCCAGGGGACAGAGCUCUGCUGCGGAGGCCGUGCCCGUGCAUCUGCGUCUACGUUACUUCUCCCUGAUUGGUCCUGAAUGCUGAGCUCGUAGCAAGCCAAGGCAGCCACCCAGCUCUGCCCAGUAGCACCCAGCUUAGCACUGGUCAUCACGGAUGUCAGUGGAUUGUGGCCGGUCCGCACUUGAAACCCAGCACCAGACAAGUAGUCAUGAAGGACCCUCCUGACUUCCUCCUAAGGGGUCUGGAUAAUGUAGCCCCGCAAGGUGAACUCAUGGUCACAGUCCAGUUUCUCCGCCUGCUCCCCUCCUUUGCAGAGCCGUGCAGCACCGUGCCAAUGGAAGGUGAGCUGCUGGGGGCGGGACCGCAGGAUGGGGAAGGCUCAGCUGGCCAGCUCUUGGUGGUCUCUGACUCCACAGGGCUGCACGUAAUAACUGCCCAGCUGCUCCAGGGCUUGGGGGGCAAAUUUUGCCCCCGGGGGUAUAACAUUCUGGCUCCACCACUGCACUCCACCUCCCUGCAAGGCCCACGGGAGAUGCCCGCCUGUCGACAAAGCUGGGUUCGGUCAGUGAAGCUCGGAGCACCCCGGAGCAGCACAGUUGUCCUGGCAUCUGUCCCUAGCACAGGAUGAGCCUGGGAACAGCACUCACAUAACAGCCCUGAGACAGGAGGAGGCUGGUGAAGGGCGUGUUUCCAGGCCGCAUGGUCAUUAGUGGUUGCUCUAAAAAUGCAAGUCUGCCUUUCCCAGCUUCUGAAAUCCUUCGUGGUGUCAGCAGCUCCUCCUGGCACCCCGUUCCACCCCCAAUUCCCACUCCUAACCUCAACCAGCAGUUCACACACGUCCAAACCUACCAACCCCAAUAGCUGGGGAUUGAAGUGGUCCCUGGAGGCCUAUCCUAUUCCUUCCGGCCUCGUCUCCGUCCCUUUAAUUCUUGGCACCCAACGUGGGCCGUGUCUUCCCUCUUGGAGUACCCAGCCUUUUUCAGUGAGUGAAUCUGGGGAAGGAUCUGGAGAAGGGGGAGAGCUUUACCCCAGUGUGCCGAUUAAUUUUCGUCUCAGGUCCCUGUCCAUUUCAUUCCUACUCAAGGUGCCUCUUUGUCUGGCUGGGGCAGUAGAAAACCAAUCACAAAGUCAAGCUCUUCUACAGGACUCGCAGUAAGAGGGCAGCGAGAUGCUCAAAGCACAAGAUCAAUGUCGUUCGGCACGGUGCUCCAGCACCAGCACGGAAAUGCGGCCACUUCUGGGGUGAGCCAUGGCUAUACAGCAUCCUUGGGAAAGAAGGGCCCGCGAUUGUACCCAGCUGGAAAUGGAGCGUGCCGCUGAGUGAAGAGAGGUCACAGCCAGAGGGAAUGUGCCCGCGACAAUAGAGAUGCCGAAAAGCACACGACUCACUGCGAAGCAGAGUCCAGCCCACGGGGCUCGGGUGCGGAAAUGGAGACUAACCUGUUUGUGUUCCUCGGAGGGCGGCAGCCGGAGGAGGUUUUUGGUCCAGCUCCUAAGAUGGUGCCUUUUCUUGUCUCUUCUCAAGGGGCCCAGCAGAAAUCCUGGCAUCUUGAUUACCACCUGCCCCUCUGAUCGACUGCCUGUUCCGCCCCGGCAGUUUGCUGCUCGCUUCCCUUUGUUUUCCCGGCUGCUUUCCCCUCGGCAGCCCGGCGGGAGCAUGGGGCCCAGCCUGCCUCUCUGGGCUGAGAAGCCUCUCGAGAUGACCUGGUCCCGGCUCACGAGCCCUCCGGAAAAGGCACCCUGCCUGCAAAACAGCUUCAGCAAGGUGACCCAGGGAGGAGAUGACCAGGCACCUCAGUCCUGGGGGCAAACGUAUGAAAUCAAAAUGAACCGCGUAAAGGGAGCACGGUACACUUGGCGUUGUGUGUUGUCAUGGAAAUCAAUACAUUUGAAAAUGUAGAAAACAUCCAAAACAUGUAUACUGCAGUGAAUUGAUAUUUUAUUUUCACCAGGCAAUUAAACCUGUGAUUAGUUGAGGUCUUUUAGUCAUUCGGCAGCUGUAAGGGUUGCUAUGUGUGUUCAAUGAAGAUCUCUGUGCACCCUGGAGGGGAAGUCAUGCCAGGGGUGCGGUGGAGGUGAGGCUUGCAUUGCACUGGCCGAUAGUGCUGCCUAGUGUCCUGCAUGGAGCAGGCUGUACCAUCCCCUUGCCUCUGGAAAUGUAGCCCCACCCGCAGCUCUGCAGGCAGUGGUAGGGGCCUGCGCUAUCGGCCAUGCAAGUCACGGUGGAACUGGCGUAGUCUUGCCCUCCGAGUGGGACAGUCCAUUCUCCGCCCCCUGUGGGAUGUUCCUGUCUUGGCUCUGCCUCUCUCUGCCACGGCCAGGCGAUAUCCCAGAAGCUGCCUAUAUGGAUGGCUCCCCACAUCACCAUGUGCACGAUCAGCCCCAGAGCACGAUCAGCAUGGAGCUGAAGGCAGGGAAUUCGGCUCAGCACUUCCUGACCUGCACUAGCGCUCUGCCCACGCCCAGGGCACUACGGCAUCGCUUUCUCUCUGCACCCUCUGCCGACUGGCACAGCCCAGUCCAGGGCCAGCCCCCUGGGCCAGCCAGGAAAUGCUCUCCAGGAAUGCGCUGUGGAGGAGCAGUUACUUCAUGCAAGCUGAAGGCCGAGGGGGCAGAGACAGGCCCUUUUCCAGCAAUAUGAACUGAUUUGUAACAAAAGAAAUCCCUUCUCUUACAGUGAUAGAAAUGUAGCCGUGUUAGUCUGGUGUAGCUGAAACAAAAUACAG